rnacentral:rRNA from 1 species
GGAAUUUUCCGCAAUGGGCGUAAAGAGCUCGUAGGCGGUUUGUCGCGUCUGCCGUGAAAGUCCGGGGCUCAACUCCGGAUCUGCGGUGGGUACGGGCAGACUAGAGUGAUGUAGGGGAGACUGGAAUUCCUGGUGUAGCGGUGAAAUGCGCAGAUAUCAGGAGGAACACCGAUGGCGAAGGCAGGUCUCUGGGCAUUAACUGACGCUGAGGAGCGAAAGCAUGGGGAGCGAACAGGAUUAGAUACCCCAG